rnacentral:rRNA from 1 species
GUACACUCCUGCGGGAGGCAGCAGUGGGGAAUUUUGGACAAUGGGCGCAAGCCUGAUCCAGCCAUGCCGCGUGCGGGAAGAAGGCCUUCGGGUUGUAAACCGCUUUUGUCAGGGAAGAAAAGGUUCUGGCUAAUACCUGGGACUCAUGACGGUACCUGAAGAAUAAGCACCGGCUAACUACGUGCCAGCAGCCGCGGUAAUACGUAGGGUGCAAGCGUUAAUCGGAAUUACUGGGCGUAAAGCGUGCGCAGGCGGUUAUGCAAGACAGAGGUGAAAUCCCCGGGCUCAACCUGGGAACUGCCUUUGUGACUGCAUGGCUAGAGUACGGUAGAGGGGGAUGGAAUUCCGCGUGUAGCAGUGAAAUGCGUAGAUAUGCGGAGGAACACCGAUGGCGAAGGCAAUCCCCUGGACCUGUACUGACGCUCAUGCACGAAAGCGUGGGGAGCAAACAGGAUUAGAUACCCGAGUAGUCCCAUG